UACGUAGGGGGCAAGCGUUGUCCGGAUUUAUUGGGCGUAAAGAGCGUGUAGGCGGCCAGGGAGGUCCGUUGUGAAAACUCGAGGCUCAACCUCGAGACGCCGAUGGAAACCCCCUGGCUAGAGUCCGGAAGAGGAGAGUGGAAUUCCUGGUGUAGCGGUGAAAUGCGCAGAGAUCGGGAGGAACACCCGUAGCGAAGGCGGCACUCUGGGCCGGUACUGACGCUGAGGAGCGAAAGCGUGGGGAGCAAACAGG
rnacentral:rRNA from 1 species